rnacentral:lncRNA from 1 species
CAAAAAUUAGCUGGGCGUGGUGUAAAAAAAAAAAACAAAAAUAGCUAAAUGAGACUAUAUUAAACUACAAAGCUUCUGCACAGCAAACAAUCAAAAGAGUAAAGAGUCAACCUAUAGAAUGUGAAGAAAUAUCUGCAAAUUAUCUGACAAGGGACUAAUAUAAUAAUAAUCCUAUUAAAAAAUGAGUAAAGGAUGUGAAUAGACAUUUCUCAAAAGUAGACAAACAAAUAGCUAACAGCUACAUGAAAGAAAUGCUUAACAUCACUAAUCAUCAGGGAAAUGUAAAUCAAGACCACGAG